GCUUUCUAAAAUAAGACACUCACCACUGUGUCUUCAUUACCCACAGCCAGGAAAUUCUCCCGAGUUUGGACAUAGCUGUUGGCCGCUGUUCCCACCACACUGACCUGCUGUGGCCUUCUCCCAAGCAGACGUCGCUACAAAGGUCAGGCUGCUGAAUCCCAUCAUUAGUCUGCCAGACUUCUGCUUCUGGGCGAGAGGGCAAGAGGAGCCAAAUCCUCCCCCACAGGCAGGAACCAGAACAUAGUCAUUUCCCAGCCCGGGACAAUUAAUCAUAUAUUGAGAGACCUAGGUCAAAGGAAGAUGGUUUAUUUACCGCUCACCACUGCUUUAACCCCAGUUCCCAACAGAUGACCUGGACUUCUGCUUAAAGAUUGUGGUUAUCACACCUGAAUGUCUUCAGGUGACAUCUUUAUCUCAAAUAUGUCACAAUUACCAUUUUCAUAACACUAUUAUUCUACGGAGGGCCUUUAUUUAUUCAUCUUUCUAUUUCAAAUCUCAUGUCAUCUCUCUUCCAGUGAUUCCAGAGACAGACUCUCUGCUCACAGGCUGUUUUCUAAGACUUGGUAAUUUAUAAGGAACAGAAGUUUAUGUGGAGCACAGUUACGGAACUUGGGAACAGCAAGAGCAUGGUACAGGCAUCUACUUGGCAUUUCUUUGUCCUCCUUUGUGACUGCUAACCCUGAUAUGGAAAGGAGAUGCAUAAAUGCUAUCUGGGAUCUCUCUUCCUCUUUUUAUAAAGCCACUAAUACUAUAGUGGGGGACCCACCCUCAUGAAUUUAUUUAGCCUUAGUGACUGCCCAAAGACUCUUUAACUCCAUGGAAAUAUGACUUGGGGGAUUAUAUUUCCAACAUGCAAAUUCUGGGAAACACACCCAAACCAUAACACCUAGAAUCAAGGAUAUUUGAAUUUAGGUCUCCAACAUUGUCCUCAAAGCUGGACCCCGCUGGUCUCUAUUUUUUGUCUACCUUAUCUUUGUAGCCAUGAAGCUCAGCUUUCAGCAAAGAUCACUUCCUGUGGAAGGACAUUUUCAUGUAUUUAUUUUAUUGCAUAGCUAAUCCAUGUACGUUGUGGAAAAUGUUAUAAAAAAUGGGAAAGCAAAGAGGAGAAAAUAAAAGUCAUCCAUAAUACCACCCCUAUCAGCUACCUUUAAUGUUUUGGCAUACAUGAAAGCAAAUGUAAAAAAGAAAAAGGUUACAUAGUGAUGUUGUUUAUGUCAUUUUUCACUGAACAUGACAUGAG
rnacentral:lncRNA from 1 species